CGGGAGGGCGCUUACCACUUUGUGAUUCAUGACUGGGGUGAAGUCGUAACAAGGUAACCGUAGGGGAACCUGCGGUUGGAUCACCUCCUUACCU
rnacentral:rRNA from 1 species